UUUGAUCCUGGCUCAGGAUGAACGCUAGCGGCAGGCCUUAUACAUGCAAGUCGAACGGUAACAUUGGUGCUUGCACCAGAUGACGAGUGGCGCACGGGUGCGUAACGCGUAUGCAACCUACCUUUUACUAGAGUAUAGCCCAGAGAAAUUUGGAUUAAUCCUCUAUAACAUCUUUUAAUUUCAUGAUUAAUUGAUUAAAGUUUUAACGGUAAAAGAUGGGCAUGCGUCCUAUUAGUUUGUAGGUGAGGUAACGGCUCACCUAGACUACGAUAGGUAGGGGCCCUGAGAGGGGGAUCCCCCACACUGGUACUGAGACACGGACCAGACUCCUACGGGAGGCAGCAGUAAGGAAUAUUGGACAAUGGACGAAAGUCUGAUCCAGCCAUGCCGCGUGCAGGAUGAAAGCCCUAUGGGUUGUAAACUGCUUUUAUACAGGAAGAAACACUCCGACGUGUCGGAGCUUGACGGUACUGUAAGAAUAAGGAUCGGCUAACUCCGUGCCAGCAGCCGCGGUAAUA
rnacentral:rRNA from 1 species